rnacentral:rRNA from 1 species
GACGAACGCUGGCGGUGUGCUUAACACAUGCAAGUCGAACGGUAAGGCCCUUUCGGGGGUACACGAGUGGCGAACGGGUGCGUAACACGUGAGUAACCUGCCCUCAUCUCUGGGAUAACAGUCGGAAACGGUUGCUAAUACUGGAUAUGAGCUUGCAAGGCAUCUUGUGGGUUGGAAAGAUUUUUUUGGUUGGGGAUGGACUCGCGGCCUAUCAGCUUGUUGGUGAGGUAGUGGCUCACCAAGGCUUCGACGGGUAGCCGGCCUGAGAGGGCGACCGGCCACAUUGGGACUGAGAUACGGCCCAAACUCCUACGGGAGGCAGCAGUGGGGAAUAUUGCACAAUGGACGGAAGUCUGAUGCAGCAGCGCCGCGUGCGGGAUGACGGCCUUCUGGUUGUAAACCGCUUUCAAUUGUGACGAAGCUUUUUGUGACGGUAGCAGUAGAAGAAGCACCGGCUAACUACGUG